rnacentral:ncRNA from 2 species
UAUGCUGAGGAGCGCUGCAACGGUUUUUUCCGUGAGGCUCAGCAUAGAUGGGGUAAAUCACAACUGCGCUCGUUCAUA